rnacentral:rRNA from 1 species
AUUGAACGCUGGCGGCAUGCUUUACACAUGCAAGUCGAACGGUAACAGGCCUUCGGGUGCUGACGAGUGGCGAACGGGUGAGUAAUGCAUCGGAACGUGCCCAGAGGUGGGGGAUAACGCAGCGAAAGCUGUGCUAAUACCGCAUGUGAUCUGAGGAUGAAAGCGGGGGACCAAGCAGCAGUGUUUGGCCUCGCGCCUCUGGAGCGGCCGAUGUCAGAUUAGGUAGUUGGUGGGGUAAAGGCCUACCAAGCCGACGAUCUGUAGCUGGUCUGAGAGGACGACCAGCCACACUGGGACUGAGACACGGCCCAGACUCCUACGGGAGGCAGCAGUGGGGAAUUUUGGACAAUGGGCGCAAGCCUGAUCCAGCAAUGCCGCGUGCGGGAAGAAGGCCUUCGGGUUGUAAACCGCUUUUGUACGGAACGAAAAGGCUCUGGCGAAUACCUGGGGCUGAUGACGGUACCGUAAGAAUAAGCACCGGCUAACUACGUG